UUGAACGCUGGCGGCAGGCCUAACACAUGCAAGUCGAACGGUAACAGGAAGCAGCUUGCUGCUUCGCUGACGAGUGGCGGACGGGUGAGUAAUGUCUGGGAAACUGCCUGAUGGAGGGGGAUAACUACUGGAAACGGUAGCUAAUACCGCAUAAUGUCGCAAGACCAAAGAGGGGGACCUUAGGGCCUCUUGCCAUCGGAUGUGCCCAGAUGGGAUUAGCUUGUUGGUGGGGUAACGGCUCACCAAGGCGACGAUCCCUAGCUGGUCUGAGAGGAUGACCAGCCACACUGGAACUGAGACACGGUCCAGACUCCUACGGGAGGCAGCAGUGGGGAAUAUUGCACAAUGGGCGCAAGCCUGAUGCAGCCAUGCCGCGUGUAUGAAGAAGGCCUUCGGGUUGUAAAGUACUUUCAGCGGGAAGGAAGGGAGUAAAGUUAAUACCUUUGCUCAUUGACGUUACCCGCAGAAGAAGCACCGGCUAACUCCGUGCCAGCAGCCGCGGUAAUACGGAGGGUGCAAGCGUUAAUCGGAAUUACUGGGCGUAAAGCGCACGCAGGCGGUUUGUUAAGUCAGAUGUGAAAUCCCCGGGCUCAACCUGGGAACUGCAUCUGAUACUGGCAAGCUUGAGUCUCGUAGAGGGGGGUAGAAUUCCAGGUGUAGCGGUGAAAUGCGUAGAGAUCUGGAGGAAUACCGGUGGCGAAGGCGGCCCCCUGGACGAAGACUGACGCUCAGGUGCGAAAGCGUGGGGAGCAAACAGGAUUAGAUACCCUGGUAGUCCACGCCGUAAACGAUGUCGACUUGGAGGUUGUGCCCUUGAGGCGUGGCUUCCGGAGCUAACGCGUUAAGUCGACCGCCUGGGGAGUACGGCCGCAAGGUUAAAACUCAAAUGAAUUGACGGGGGCCCGCACAAGCGGUGGAGCAUGUGGUUUAAUUCGAUGCAACGCGAAGAACCUUACCUGGUCUUGACAUCCACGGAAGUUUUCAGAGAUGAGAAUGUGCCUUCGGGAACCGUGAGACAGGUGCUGCAUGGCUGUCGUCAGCUCGUGUUGUGAAAUGUUGGGUUAAGUCCCGCAACGAGCGCAACCCUUAUCCUUUGUUGCCAGCGGUCCGGCCGGGAACUCAAAGGAGACUGCCAGUGAUAAACUGGAGGAAGGUGGGGAUGACGUCAAGUCAUCAUGGCCCUUACGACCAGGGCUACACACGUGCUACAAUGGCGCAUACAAAGAGAAGCGACCUCGCGAGAGCAAGCGGACCUCAUAAAGUGCGUCGUAGUCCGGAUUGGAGUCUGCAACUCGACUCCAUGAAGUCGGAAUCGCUAGUAAUCGUGGAUCAGAAUGCCACGGUGAAUACGUUCCCGGGCCUUGUACACACCGCCCGUCACACCAUGGGAGUGGGUUGCAAAAGAAGUAGGUAGCUUAACCUUCGGGAGGGCGCUUACCACUUUGUGAUUCAUGACUGGGGUG
rnacentral:rRNA from 1 species